rnacentral:rRNA from 1 species
AGGAAACUAAACCAUUUUUCCACCUUAGUACGGGAGACGGAAAAGGUAAUUUUAAGCAAUAGAGGAAGUACCGCAAGGGAAAGCUGAAAGAGUAAUGAAAUAAUCCAUAUAAGCACAAAAAAGCAGAGCCUAACCCUCGUACCUUUUGCAUCAUGAUUUAGCCAGCACCACUCAAGCGAAGUGACCUUUAGUUUGAAGCCCCGAAACCAAGUGAGCUACCCCGGGACAGCCUGUUUGGGCGAACCCGUCUCUGUGGCAAAAGAGUGGGAAGAGCCCCGGGUAGAGGUGAUAAACCUACCGAACUUGGUGAUAGCUGGUUGCCUAAGAAGUGAAUAGAAGUUCAGCCUCGUACCCCUUUAGCCAACCAAGACAUAUCUGAGUAAGCAUAUGAGAGAAAUACGAGAGUUAGUUGAAGGGGGUACAGCCCCUUUAAUAAAGGACACAACCUUGAGUAGGAGGAUAAGAGUCACAUUUUAUAAAACUAGUCGUCCCAGUGGGCCUAAAAGCAGCCAUCUGAGUAGAAAGCGUUAAAGCUCAAACGACAUGCAGUUUAUUAUACUGUUAAAUAGCUCAACUCCCCUAGAAGUAUUAGGCCGUUCCAUGCCCCCAUGGAAGAGACUAUGCUAGAAUGAGUAAUAAGAGGGUAUGACCCUCUCCUAGCACAAGUGUAAGUCAGAUCGGACAAACCACUGAAAAUUAACGAACCCAUGAAAAGAGGGUAAUGUGUUUACUAAGAAAAUCAAGAAAAUGACACAACACUUGUAUCGUUAAACCCACACUGGAGUGCCAUCAAGGAAAGACUAAAAGAAAAGGAAGGAACUCGGCAAACACAAGCCUCGCCUGUUUACCAAAAACAUCGCCUCCUGCUAACCCCAAUGUAUAGGAGGUCCAGCCUGCCCGGUGACUACAAGUUUAACGGCCGCGGUAUUUUGACCGUGCAAAGGUAGCGCAAUCACUUGUCUUUUAAAUGAAGACCUGUAUGAAUGGCUAAACGAGGGCUUAACUGUCUCCCUUUUCAGG